CACGUAGGGUGCGAGCGUUGUCCGGAAUUAUUGGGCGUAAAGAGCUCGUAGGCGGUGUGUCGCGUCGGCCGUGAAAACCUGCAGCUUAACUGUGGGCUUGCGGUCGAUACGGGCAUCACUGGAGUUCGGCAGGGGAGACUGGAAUUCCUGGUGUAGCGGUGAAAUGCGCAGAUAUCAGGAGGAACACCGGUGGCGAAGGCGGGUCUCUGGGCCGAUAACUGACGC
rnacentral:rRNA from 1 species